UGGGGAAUAUUGGACAAUGGGCGAAAGCCUGAUCCAGCCAUGCCGCGUGUGUGAAGAAGGUCUUCGGAUUGUAAAGCACUUUAAGUUGGGAGGAAGGGCAGUAAGCGAAUACCUUGCUGUUUUGACGUUACCGACAGAAUAAGCACCGGCUAACUCUGUGCCAGCAGCCGCGGUAAUACAGAGGGUGCAAGCGUUAAUCGGAAUUACUGGGCGUAAAGCGCGCGUAGGUGGUUCGUUAAGUUGAAUGUGAAAGCCCCGGGCUCAACCUGGGAACUGCAUCCAAAACUGGCGAGCUAGAGUAGGGCAGAGGGUGGUGGUAUUUCCUGUGUAGCGGUGAAAUGCGUAGAUAUAGGAAGGAACACCAGUGGCGAAGGCGACCACCUGGGCUCAUACUGACACUGAGGUGCGAAAGCGUGGGGAGCAAACAGG
rnacentral:rRNA from 1 species